rnacentral:rRNA from 1 species
UGGGGAAUUUUGGACAAUGGGGGAAACCCUGAUCCAGCCAUCCCGCGUGUGCGAUGAAGGCCUUCGGGUUGUAAAGCACUUUUGGCAGGAAAGAAAAGUCAUGGGUUAAUACCCCGUGAAACUGACGGUACCUGCAGAAUAAGCACCGGCUAACUACGUGCCAGCAGCCGCGGUAAUACGUAGGGUGCAAGCGUUAAUCGGAAUUACUGGGCGUAAAGCGUGCGCAGGCGGUUCGGAAAGAAAGAUGUGAAAUCCCAGAGCUCAACUUUGGAACUGCAUUUUUAACUACCGGGCUAGAGUGUGUCAGAGGGAGGUGGAAUUCCGCGUGUAGCAGUGAAAUGCGUAGAUAUGCGGAGGAACACCGAUGGCGAAGGCAGCCUCCUGGGAUAACACUGACGCUCAUGCACGAAAGCGUGGGGAGCAAACAGG